rnacentral:lncRNA from 1 species
UCAGUAGUAUUUCGAAUAAAGCGGUAGAAAGUGGUUGUGUUCAUGUUAGUGAUCGAAAUUAUCAAUUAUUUUUCUUUUAUUUCCAAAUGAAUGUACUUAUAUUUUUCAAAUUUAUUGAAAAUUUAUCUUUAAAAUGGAUUCUGCGCAUGCGUAAAUGUUUUAACCGCGGAAAGCACUGCUCAAAUAAGAAAAGUUAUAUAGUGGCGCCAAAAAAUAAUAACCUCAUUGCGGGAUUAUAUAAGUUACAUUGUUGUGAUCAAGAAUUUUAUUAUUUAUGAGUUAUUGCAAAUAUAUGUGAAAGAUGAUAUUCAGAAGUGCUAUGUAUACCUAGUAUUCGUAGAAGUGAAUUGGGUGAUAAAUCUUCGUGCUGAAUCAAAUAAAAGCAAAGGUGUUCUCAUGCAUAAAUUCCGCACGCGCGGCGUGAUGUACAUAUAUCGAUGAGAUAGCGUAGAAUCAUAAAUAUUGUGCAUUUUUAGUCGGUGAUCAAGAUUUCAAAGUGCAAUACUUCGUUCUCAUGGUUAACCAGGCAUGUCAUUUUUUCACUUUAACCAGAGACAAGAACCUGGUUCUUCGACAUUUCUCUACUUCCUGGGUCUUAGAUAGAUAUCUUAUUGUAAUAUAAAAAAUGCGUAUUGAUAGAGAAAUAAAAAUAUGAAAAUUCGGAAAGACAGUAAAAAAAUCACAAGCGCUGAGUAUGGCGUCCAGCAGUGUACUGCUCAAACGAACGAAGGCUGGAAAAAUAUGAAAAAAUCAAUCAUAUUAACGAUUGCUGGAUUAGUUGAAUUCUUUUUACCAGAGAUGAACUAAGAUGAAAGCAUAGAGAGAGGACGCCGCAAUCGGUGAGUACUUUUUAUCAACUGAAAGUAUACAAUGAGACAAAUAUUUCGCGCCCAAAUUUUUAUUUUUACUUUUUGUAUGAAAAAAACAUAUUCAUAUACGAAUAAUAUUUGAAAGUUGUUUUAUUGAGACUUUACAACAAUCAGCAUGCAAAGAUUACAUUGAAUCUUACAGCGAUAUUCAUUUAUUUCAACGCAUUUGCUAAAUAUACAAUUUGAUUACAACAAAACCAUUUAUAUUAAGUAAAGAACAUUGUUAGUGCUGUAAAAGAUACUCUUGAUUACACUUGAAUGAU